GGGCGGCCCUCGGCUCACUUCCUGCUUGCUCCAACUUUCAGCCUGCCCCCGCCCACCUCGCAUCCCGAGCGGUUCCAGCCUCACCUCCGGCAGGUUCCCCCAGAGUUCAACAAUCCCUUCAGGAGCCACCAUGAGGGGUUGGUGAGCCGAGUCAGAAAUGGUCAGAUGCCUGCCCUAUGGACCAGAGAAGGGCCCCAGGGCAAAGGAUUUUUCCACCACCUGGCUCCAGGACAGAAAAUCCAGUCUUCCUGGAUGGUAUUUAUGAAGACAGAACAAUAACAGGGUCACACAAAAGGGAACAAACAUUCCUGUCCCAUCCCAGAAGUAUCAGUUCUAAGAGGGAAAUGUCAGCUUCUCUAACACAUGCUUUUUCAAAGGAUUUAACAAAUUUUGGACCUCAGUUUUGAGACACUUUAUUCUACUUUAUAAUGAAAUCUUAUCCCAAUUUAGAUAUUAUAUUUUGCAAACCUGAAUUUCGAUGGACAGUACCAGCCUGCUUUCACCAUCCUUAGAAAAGCUAUAAAGUAGAGGCGCCUGGUGGCUCAGUAGGUUCAGCAUCCGACUUCGGCUCAGGUCAUGAUCUCACCAUUAGUGAGUUCAAGCCCCGCGUGGGGCUCUGUGCUGACAGCACGGAGCCUGGAGCCUGCUUCAGAUUCUGUGUCUCCCUCUCUCUCUGCCCCUCCCCCGUUCAUGCUCCGUCUCUCUCUGUCUCAAAAAUAAAUAACAUUAAAAAAAAAAAAAAAGCUAUAAAGUGAUCAAGUGGAGGUGGGUCAGAAUCCUUGAUCUGUACUUGUGCUGUCCAGUACAGUAGCCACUGACCUCAUGUGCACAUAGUACUAUGUACUGUAUACUGUGAACAUAGUACUUGAACUAUGGCUAAUCUGAACUGAGAAGUGAGGGGCCCCUGGGAGGCUCAGUGGUUGACUUUGGCUCAGAUCAUGAUCUCAUGGCUCUUGUAUUCAAGCCCCACAUCCUCAGGCAAAGCCCUGAUAGUGCGGAGUCUAUUUCAGAUUCUCUGUCUCUCUCUGUCUCUCUCUCUCUCUGCCCCUCCCCUACUCUCUCUCUCAAAAAAAAAAAUUUAAACAAAUUAGAAUGAACUGAGAAGUGAUGUAAGAGUAAAUAAAGUACACUCUGUAUUUCAAAGAGUUGUUAUGCAAAAAAGAAUGUAAAUAUCUCACUAGUCAUUUUACAUACUGAUGACAUGUUGAAAUAAUGUUGUAGUAUAUUGAAUUAAAUUUUAAAAAUUGAUAAAA